AUUGAACGCUGGCGGCAGGCCUAACACAUGCAAGUCGAGCGGAUGAAGGGAGCUUGCUCCUGGAUUCAGCGGCGGACGGGUGAGUAAUGCCUAGGAAUCUGCCUGGUAGUGGGGGAUAACGUCCGGAAACGGGCGCUAAUACCGCAUACGUCCUGAGGGAGAAAGUGGGGGAUCUUCGGACCUCAAGCUAUCAGAUGAGCCUAGGUCGGAUUAGCUAGUUGGUGGGGUAAAGGCCUACCAAGGCGACGAUCCGUAACUGGUCUGAGAGGAUGAUCAGUCACACUGGAACUGAGACACGGUCCAGACUCCUACGGGAGGCAGCAGUGGGGAAUAUUGGACAAUGGGCGAAAGCCUGAUCCAGCCAUGCCGCGUGUGUGAAGAAGGUCUUCGGAUUGUAAAGCACUUUAAGUUGGGAGGAAGAGCAGUAAGUUAAUACCUUGCUGUUUUGACGUUACCAACAGAAUAAGCACCGGCUAACUUCGUG
rnacentral:rRNA from 1 species